rnacentral:rRNA from 1 species
CCCUUAGAUGUCCUGGGCUGCACGCGCGCUACACUGAUGUGUCCAGUAAGCACCUAACCUCUUCCGAAAGGAACGGGUAACCUUUGCAAAGCACAUCGUGAUGGGGAUAGAUUAUUGCCAUUAUUAGUCUUGAACGAGGAAUUCCUAGUAAGCACAAGUCAUCAGCUUGUGUUGAUUACGUCCCUGCCCUUUGUACACACCGCCCGUCGCUCCUACCGAUUGAAUGUUCCGGUGAGCUCUUCGGACUGCGCGGUCUGCAGUUUCUGCGUUCCGUGCGGAAAGUUGCGCAAACCUUAACAUUUAGAGGAAGGAGAAGUCGUAACA